rnacentral:rRNA from 1 species
UGCGUAGGCGGACUAAUAAGUCAGUGGUGAAAUCUUGCAGCUUAACUGUAAAACUGCCAUUGAUACUGUUAGUCUUGAAUUUAGUUGAGGUAGGCGGAAUGUAUUGUGUAGCGGUGAAAUGCAUAGAUAUAAUACAGAACACCGAUUGCGAAGGCAGCUUACUAAGCUAUAAUUGACGCUGAUGCACGAAAGCGUGGGUAGCGAACAGGAUUAGAUACCCUGGUAGUCC